rnacentral:tRNA from 1 species
GCCUGGGUGGCUCAGUUGGUAAGCAUCUGACUUCAGCUCAGGUCAUGAUCUCACUGUUUAUGAGUUCGAACCCCAUGUCGGGCU